AACUAUAAAACUUUCACACAACGAUAGGCUGAAUCACCUGUCAAGAAGAAAGCAGGCAACUUUGGUGUCCCUUUUAAAAUCCUUGCUCCUCAUGAGGUCUUUCCAUCUUGGAAAACCACUUAUGUAUAAACUUUGGUCUGGUC